UUUAGUAUAAUAACUCUUUUAAGGAUUAUAACUUGGACUUCCAAUAUGUCGACAUUGAUAAACAGCCUCAAGUCAACUUUGUAAGAGCCCCGUCACCAUGAUGUGUCGCUGUGGUACGAAAGGAUUGGGAUCAAGUUAUGCAGAUUGUUGAGAGCAAUAUGAUGAGGGAAGGCAGGAAAGAGUACCUGAGUCUUAUAGUCUGUAUGUACUCAUGGCAAAAUGGUGUUCGAGUGGUGGCGAAUAAGGAUUUGCUUGCAGCAUUGAAGAACAAUAAUAUGCAAAGAACAGAAAGAAAGGUUCUCUUAACAUAGAAAGUAAAGAAAUAAUGAAGUUCACACUACAGUUGACAAUCUGGAUGUGUUUCCUUUGUUAUUUGAACAUGAUUUAUUUUAACUUAGGCCAGAGUUUUUUUAUCUUUAGAUUUACGGGAGAUUUUUCAAAAAGUUGGGUAAGGAGGAGGAAAUAAAAAUAAAAAUAAAAUGCAUAAAAUGUCCCGAAGGAGAAAUAAAUAAAAAUAAAACAGAUUUUUCUUCGAUUUUUUUUAUUUUUUAAAUCUUCUUAUAUCAUAAAGACAAAACACACCUUACUUGUGUCAGUUUUUUCAUAGGCUGAACAAAGGGUGAAAGAUCACCAUACAGUUUCAAAAGCAUAAUUAAAGAUCCUUUUAAAGACUGAAAAUAUUGACCUUAACACAGUUCAAGCGCUUAUUGAAAUUAAUGCACCAAUCAAUUGUAACCACGGCCCCUCAGGUCCGUGGAAUAGCGGGGACUUUGACUUUCGGUCAAGCCAACUCCGGGUAAAAUCCUCGCCCUGCGGGAACGAACUGAUGGUAAAAUCCCUGCCAAAUGCCCCCGCACCCCAGGGACCCUACGUAAGGCCCAUUCCCCGCUAUAUUUUGCGCGAAGACAAAACCACCGCAUUCACCCAGCUGCGGGGCCACCUGGAAGGUAAAAACAUGGCCCAUUUCCCCGGCUAUCCCCGGACCUGGGGUCGGGGGGUGGGGGUGCUGUGGUUACAAUUGACUAGUGCAUAAUUGUUAAGUAUAUAUUUGUUCAAAUGCAUCUAUGCAUUUAUGCAUACAUGUGAUGCAUGUAUUAUCAACCCAUUGAUUUUAUGAAACAUGUCAGUGUAAUAAAGAAGUUGAAAUGGCCAUUUCUAACCUGUUGCCCACAAUAUAAGCAUUUCCUUUUAAUAGUGAAGUGAUCAAACAUUGAACAAAGUUUAAGACACGGAAAGGAGGUCAAAUGGUUUUUUAUGUCUUUAACAUAUAGCACCGUGACCAUUUACUGUAAUGUGGUUUUCAUAUAGAAAUAUUACCAAAUAAAGUCUAAGCCCUGAUGGAUAUACCUAUUCAUUUCAAAGUUUGACAGGGCUUACGGAAGCAUAAACAGUCAAAAUCUGUAAACUACAUUAAUUUUAUAUACUUCACCAAAGAAAAUGAGCAUUAAAAUAAACUUGCCAAGUGUAAUAUAUUUCAAAAUAUCUGGUUAAAAACUGAUUUUAGAAUUGAUCCUGAACAAUAUCCUUCUAAUUCCAGCUAUUGGGAUGCCCUUUGACACAUGAGCAACUGAUCAGUUUGACUUCUUGCACUGACUGCCAAAUAUUAUCUUAUGUUCCAUUUUUUUCUGUCUGGUCGGAACAAACACAAUGUUAUUAUUAGCUCAUUUUCAGUAUUUUAUAAAUUCUUAUUAUUUAUUAAACAAAUUAACAACUACAAACGUAAGAAGAUACCUUGUGUUUUUCGCUUCAAAUAUGUGACCGUGAGGCAGUGUGUUCAAUGCUCCUCAGAGUCAAAUUCAGAAAUAUAUAUCUAUUUUGACUAUGAUGAACACGAUAUCAUUUUGCGGUUUGUGUUUGUCAGAAGCUUUGCAUAUUUGCGCUGUAAUCCAAUUCAUCCUUUUUAAUAUACGACGUGCGUCAACGACUUUUUUAUUUACAAACACAACCCACAAAUUUCUGUCUCCUUAUUUUGACCGGAAGUUGCGCAAUCAUUCCACGAAUCGCGAACAACAUACUAGAUCUACAAAAAAUGACAAUAUACACGCCUUAAGUUAAGUUAUCGACGGUUUGAUUUAAAUAAAGUAACAUAAAUAUCGGAACGUCUUGGUAGUAAAACCUUUCUAUAAAGCUGCAGAUAUUGCGAAAAAUAAGUGAUAUGACAUUGACUCGCUUCUUACACUUUUGACAGGACGUUGUUAUGGUUACGGGUACCUGUUCUGUUUCCCGCGUAUUUCCGACUGGUUUACGUAUUAUUGAAGUAAAAAGACCGAUAAUGAAUGACAAUUAGUACACCAGUUGCUUCUGAGAUAUGGGUUAUAGAACACUAAUUUUAUUUUAUUCGUAACAUUGGAUCAACGUUCGUCGGAAAAAAUAAAACUAGGAAAUUUUAUUUUAUUUUUAUUUGGGUUUUGCAAUAUUUAGGUACGGCGCUCCCGUAAAUCUAAAGAUAUGAAAACUCUGGCCUUACAUAGCAAGUAUGCACUACAAUAAUGAAUAUCUAUAUUAAUAGUAAUGAUAUUCUAUUAAACAUGGAUAUGGAAAAAAUAUUCUUUGACAGUGCAAGAUAAGAUAAAUCCAAACAUAGUGAAAGUCUUCAGUUAACUUGGAUGUGUUCCAUUUGUUUCAUCCACAUACUUGAAAUUUGUCUUGUAACUACAUGUAUUUUUAUGAGGUUAAGUGGUGAGUAAUCAACCUUUAUCAUAACAUUUUCUUAUUUGGGGAUAGUAUGUAUUUAUGUUGACACUGUGUACCUUCAUUCUCUUCAUUUUUCUGUACAAAACAAGACCAAAUGUGUCAUUUUAGUUUAACCAUUUUAAACUGUAUUUAUUAUACUCUUCAUUGAAUACCCAUUCGUAUAUUAUCAAACAUUUUAACAAAUUUAAAUUUGUUAUUUUGAUUAUAUUGUAUUGGUGUCAUAGGGUACAUGUACAUGUCCAUUCCUAGCCUUCAAGAUAGAACAGAUAUAUUCUUUGUUGUAAAAUGUGUUUUUUAUGCAUAUAUAUACAUAUAGAGUGGCUACAGAGAACUCAACAUUUUUCUUACAAAAUAUCUAAGAGUUUCCCUGCAUGUGAUUGCUACAUUCAGUGUACCUCAUGUUAUAUAAUACAUUAUAUAUGAUCAAUAAAACAGAUUAAGAACCAAAGCUGUUGCUAAAUACUUUUUAAAACCUGUAUAUUUACAAGACAAUACUGAGACUGUAUAGACACCAAUGUUUGUCCUAACUUGAAGAUGUAUUGAUUCCAAUGAUUGCCUUGAGUUGAGGCUGUGUAGAUUCCAAUGUUUGUCUUAAGCUGAGCCUGUAUAGAUUCUAAUGUUUGUCUUCAGUUGAGGCUGUAUAGAUUCCAAUGUUUAUCUUAAGGUGAGGCUGUAUAGAUUCCAAUGUUUAUCUUAAGGUGAGGCUGUAUAGAUUCCAAUGUUUAUCUUAAGGUGAGGCUGUAUAGAUUCCAAUGUUUAUCUUAAGGUGAGGCUGUAUAGAUUCCAAUGUUUAUCUUAAGGUGAGGCUUUAUAGAUUCCAAUGUAUGUCUUCAGUUGAGGCUGUAUAUAUUCCAAUGUUUGUCUUAAGCUGAGGCUGUAUAGAUUCUAAUGUUUGUGUUCAGUUGAGGCUGUAUAGAUUCCAAUGUAUGUCUAAAGUUGAGGCUGUAUUGAUUCUAAUAUUUGCCUUCAGUUGAGGCUGUAUAGAUUCCAAUGUAUGUCUAAAGUUGAGGCUGUAUUGAUUCUAAUAUUUGCCUUCAGUUGAGGCUGUAUAGAUUCCAAUGUAUGUCUAAAGUUGAGGCUGUAUUGAUUCUAAUAUUUGCCUUCAGUUGAGGCUAUAUAGAUUCUAAUGUUUGUCUUCAGUUGAGGCUGUAUAACGUUUGUCCAAAUUUUAGGCUGUAUUGAAUCCAAGAUCUCUCGAAUUUGUAACUUAUUAGGUUCCAAUACCUGUCUUAAUAUAAACUGUAUACGGUCCAAUGUUAGUGCUACGUUGGAGUUGAAAAGAGUCCAUUGUCUGUCCUACGGUGUAGCUGUAUCGAUUCCAAUGUUUAUAGAACUUAGGAACAGUGAGAUAUAAUUGUUUAUUUCCUCGAAAAGUAUUUAUUUUAUUUAAAAUUGUCAUCUUUUCUUAAUUAUUAUCUGAAAUCUCAACAAGAGCACCGCGAAACGGAGCAUUAUACGCCCGAAGAAGAUUCGGCUUGAGGUCUUUAAUAAACAUUUAGGCUAUAAAUGCUAGUAUACUGCUUACUAGGUGUGAAGUGUUUACAACAAAGGCUUAAACUUCCAAUAUUGAAACUUUAAUGAUACUUAAGUUAGCAGUGCCUGGCCUGGACAUGGAAUUGCUUACGUCCCCCCCAUGGUGAUUCUAGUGUUUGAGGUAUGGACCUGGAAAUUGCGCGCGACACAUCCUUUUAAUGUAAUGAUGCUUUGUAUAAAGUUAUUUGAAAAUGACUUUAUUAGUGACCAAGUUGUGGCACGGACACGGAUUUGCUAACGCACCCGCAUGGUGAUUCUAGUCUUUGAGGUAUGGACCUGGAAAUUGCGCGCGACACAUCCUUUUAAUGUAGUGAUGAUUUGUAUAAAGUUAUUUGAAAAUCGCUUUAUUAGUUACCAAGUUAUGGCCCGGACACGGAAGUGCUGACGCCCCCCCAGUGAAAUGAGCCUUUGAGGUACGGACCUGGAAAGCAUGCUUGACAAAUCCUUUUAAUGCAGAGAUGAUUUGUAUAAAGUUAUUUGAAAAUUGCUUUAGUGGUAACCCAGUUAUGGCCUGGACAUGGAAUUGCUAACAUCCCCCCCCCCAUGGUGAUUCUAGUGUUUGAGGUAUGGACCUGGAAAUUGCGCGCGACACAUCCUUUUAAUGUAAUGAUGCUUUGUAUAAAGUUAUUUGAAAAUGACUUUAUUAGUGACCAAGUUGUGGCACGGACACGGAUUUGGUAACGCACCCCAUGGUGAUUCUAGUCUUUGAGGUAUGGACCUGGAAAUUGCGCGCGACACAUCCUUUUAAUGUAGUGAUGAUUUGU